UUUCCGAUUGAUAUUAUCUUGCCAGAGAUGGGGAGCCGCUGAAGAAUUUGGGGCAGGGAGAUAACGCGGAAGAGGUGAAUGGAAUGGAGUGGGAGAAUGCCAAUGUGGGUAUUCCUGUGGGCGGAAGUGAGGGCUGGCUGGCUGACGACCACCGCCCUUCAUUCAUUUAGUCGUUCAACAAAUAGUUACUACAGGUCGGCUGUGUACCAGGAGCUGGAAAUCAGGCAAUGAACAGGACUGGCAAAGUCUCUGUUCUCAUGGAAGAGACUGACAACACACAAAUAAGGAAACAAGCAAGGAAGUAUCAGCUAAGUGCCGCUUGGAAAAUCAAACCAGUUUUACAGAUCCAAAAAGGCUUGGGAGGACUAAAGACACUUGCUAAAGGUGGCCAUCAAGUAGGCAAGAGAGCUAGAAGCUGAGAGCUGCACUUUCCACAAGUCCUCACCGCCGUCAAAUCCCUAGACCUGGGCUUGCUCUAACAGCAAUGAAAGAAAACUUGGAAAGCUACAAAAGAUCGUCGACUCUGAACUAUUACUGGGGUGGGCAGAGAUGCCCCAGGUGACUGGACACCAUUAGGCAGAGG
rnacentral:lncRNA from 1 species